UGAGGAACAUGACCUUCGGCGGGGGAUAGCCGGCCCAACGGCCGGGUAAUACCGCGUACGACCUUUUGGGGACAUCCCCGACUGGUGAAAGCAGCAAUGCGCCGAUGGAGUGCCUCGCGGCCUAUCAGCUAGUUGGUGGGGUAACGGCCUACCAAGGCAACGACGGGUAGCUGGUCUGAGAGGAUGGCCAGCCACAUUGGGACUGAGACACGGCCCAGACCUCCGUACGGGAGGCAG
rnacentral:rRNA from 1 species